rnacentral:tRNA from 1 species
GCCGGGGUACCCAAGCCAGGAUAAGGGGCGGGCCUUGAGACAAGACAUGAAAGCCCGUGGCCACACAGGCCUCGUGGGUUCAAAUCCCACCCCCGGCG